CGUGUAGGCGGUCAUGUAAGUCAGAUGUGAAAGCCUUCCGCUUAACGGAAGAAGUGCAUUUGAAACUACAUGACUGGAGUACGGGAGAGGAGAGUGGAAUUCCCGGUGUAGAGGUGAAAUUCGCAGAUAUCGGGAGGAACACCAGUGGCGAAGGCGGCUCUCUGGCCUGAUACUGACGCUGAGACGCGAAAGCGUGGGGAGCAAACAGGAUUAGAUACCCUGGUAGUCCACGCCGUAAACGAUGGGCACUAGGUGUAGGAGGUAUUGACCCCUUCUGUGCCGAAGCUAACGCAUUAAGUGCCCCGCCUGGGGAGUACGGCCGCAAGGUUAAA
rnacentral:rRNA from 1 species